CCGCACCUCAGCUUCGGGUAGUAGUUGUAGCUACCAGCCGAAACUGAAAUGCGACG
rnacentral:precursor_RNA from 1 species